rnacentral:rRNA from 1 species
UGCAGGCUGCAACUCGCCUGCAUGAAGUCGGAAUUGCUAGUAAUCGUAGGUCAGCAUACUACGGUGAAUACGUUCCCGGGCCUUGUACACACCGCCCGUCAAACCAUGAGAGUUGGCAACACCCGAAGUCGGUAGUCUAACCGCAAGGAGGACGCCGCCGAAGGUGGGGUCGAUGAUUAGGGUUAAGUCGUAACAAGGUACC